rnacentral:rRNA from 1 species
GAUGAACGCUGGCGGCGUGCUUAACACAUGCAAGUCGAACGGAAAGGCUCCUGCUUGCAGGGGUACUCGAGUGGCGAACGGGUGAGUAACACGUGGGUGAUCUGCCCUGCACUUCGGGAUAAGCCUGGGAAACUGGGUCUAAUACCGGAUAGGACGAUGGUUUGGAUGCCAUUGUGGAAAGUUUUUUCGGUGUGGGAUGAGCUCGCGGCCUAUCAGCUUGUUGGUGGGGUAAUGGCCUACCAAGGCGUCGACGGGUAGCCGGCCUGAGAGGGUGUACGGCCACAUUGGGACUGAGAUACGGCCCAGACUCCUACGGGAGGAAGCAGUGGGGAAUAUUGCACAAUGGGCGCAAGCCUGAUGCAGCGACGCCGCGUGGGGGAUGACGGCCUUCGGGUUGUAAACUCCUUUCGCUAGGGACGAAGCGCAAGUGACGGUACCUGGAGAAGAAGCACCGGCUAACUACGUG